rnacentral:rRNA from 1 species
CAGUCGCCACGGGAAUAUGAAGGGUGCAGGCGUUACUCGGAAUUAUUGGGCGUAAAGAGCUCGUAGGCGGUUUGUCGCGUCUGCCGUGAAAGUCCGGGGCUCAACCCCGGAUCUGCGGUGGGUACGGGCAGACUAGAGUGAUGUAGGGGAGACUGGAAUUCCUGGUGUAGCGGUGAAAUGCGCAGAUAUCAGGAGGAACACCGAUGGCGAAGGCAGGUCUCUGGGCAUUAACUGACGCUGAGGAGCGAAAGCAUGGGGAGCGAACAGGAUUAGAGACCCGCGUAGUCCCUGUCUCUUAUAC